GGAACUAGAGAGGCCAUAAGAGGGUGUUGGAUUCAUUGGAACUGGAGAGGCCAUAAGAGGGUGUUGGAUUCAUUGGAACUGGAGUUACAGGUGGUUGUGAGCCACCAUGUGUGUGCUGAAUCCAAGACCUCUGGAACGGCGGCCAAUGCUCUCACCAUCGAGCCAUCCCUCCAGUUCCUCUGCCAUCAUUAUUGUUGGGUUUGUUUUUGUUUUUGUUUUUGUUUUUUUCAAGACAAGGUUUCUCUGUAUAGCCUUGGCUGUCCUGGAACUCACUCUAUAGGCCAGGGUAGCCUCAAACUCCGAGAUCUACCUAUUCUGCCCACCAAGUGCUGGGAUUAAAUGUGUGUGCCAUGACUGUCCAGCUAUUUUUUUUUUAAAGGGGAAA
rnacentral:lncRNA from 1 species